UGGGGAAUCUUAGACAAUGGGGGCAACCCUGAUCUAGCCAUGCCGCGUGAGUGAUGAAGGCCUUAGGGUUGUAAAGCUCUUUCAGCUGGGAAGAUAAUGACGGUACCAGCAGAAGAAGCCCCGGCUAACUCCGUGCCAGCAGCCGCGGUAAUACGGAGGGGGCUAGCGUUGUUCGGAAUUACUGGGCGUAAAGCGCACGUAGGCGGACUGGAAAGUCAGAGGUGAAAUCCCAGGGCUCAACCUUGGAACUGCCUUUGAAACUAUCAGUCUGGAGUUCGAGAGAGGUGAGUGGAAUUCCGAGUGUAGAGGUGAAUUCGUGAUAUUCGGAGGAACACCAGUGGCGAAGGCGGCUCACUGGCUCGAUACUGACGCUGAGGUGCGAAAGCGUGGGGAGCAAAACAGGAUUAGAUACCCUGGUAGUCCACGCCGUAAACGAUGAAUGCCAGACGUCGGCAAGCAUGCUUGUCGGUGUCACACCUAACGGAUUAAGCAUUCCGCC
rnacentral:rRNA from 1 species